AUUGAACGCUGGCGGCACGCCUAACACAUGCAAGUCGAGCGGCAGCGCGAUGUGUAGCAAUACACAUUGGCGGCGAGCGGCGGACGGGUGAGUAACACGUAGGAACCUAUCUCUGAGAGGGGGACAACCAAGGGAAACUUUGGCUAAUACCGCGUAAUCUCGAGAGAGCAAAGCUGCAGCAAUGUAGCGCUUAGAGAGGGGCCUGCGUCCGAUUAGCUAGUUGGUGAGGUAAAGGCUCACCAAGGCGAUGAUCGGUAACUGGUCUGAGAGGACGACCAGUCACACUGGGACUGAGACACGGCCCAGACUCCUACGGGAGGCAGCAGUGGGGAAUCUUGGACAAUGGGGGCAACCCUGAUCCAGCGAUGCCGCGUGAGUGAAGAAGGCCUUCGGGUCGUAAAGCUCUUUAAGCUGGGAAGAAGGAUGGUUGAGGAAAUGCGAUCAUUUUGACGGUACCAGCAGAAUAAGCACCGGCAAACUCUGUGCCAGCAGCCGCCGUAA
rnacentral:rRNA from 1 species